CAGCAGCCGCGGUAAAACGAAGGGUGCAAGCGUUAAUCGGAAUUACUGGGCGUAAAGCGUGCGUAGGCGGUGAGUUAAGUCUGCUGUGAAAUCCCCGGGCUCAACCUGGGAAUGGCAAUGGAUACUGGCGAGCUAGAGUGUGUCAGAGGAUGGUGGAAUUCCCGGUGUAGCGGUGAAAUGCGUAGAGAUCGGGAGGAACAUCAGUGGCGAAGGCGGCCAUCUGGGACAACACUGACGCUGAGGCACGAAAGCGUGGGGAGCAAACAGGAUUAGAUACCCGCGUAGUCCCUGUCUCUUAUAU
rnacentral:rRNA from 1 species